rnacentral:rRNA from 1 species
UAGCGGCAGGCUUAAUACAUGCAAGUCAAGGGGGUAGCAAUACAACCGGCGCACGGGUGAGUAACGCGUACACAACAUACCAUAUACUGGGGUAUAGCUUNGGGAAACUGAAGGUAAUCCCCCAUAACAUUGCGAGAGGGCAUCUGAUUGCAAUUAAAGUUUCGGCGGUAUAUGAUUGGUGUGCGUUUGAUUAGCUAGUUGGUAGGGUAACGGCCUACCAAGGCGACGAUCAAUAGCUGGCGUGAGAGCGCGACCAGCCACACUGGAACUGAGACACGGUCCAGACUCCUACGGGAGGCAGCAGUAGGGAAUAUUGGACAAUGGAGGAAACUCUGAUCCAGCCAUGCCGCGUGAUAGAUGAAGGCCCUCUGGGUUGUAAAUAUC